rnacentral:lncRNA from 1 species
AUAACCAACAUUUAAAAAUCUCACUUCCUAAUAAAAAUUCUUAUUUAUUGAUCUACCUGCACCAUAAAACAACUCAACAUGAAGAAAUUUCGGUUUCUUCAGACUGAGUUUGCCUAGCUUUACAAAUCAUUACAGGGCUUUUCCUAGCUAUACACUGUACCUCAGACACAGUAACUGUGUUUUCCUCUAUCACACACAUCUGCUGAAAUGUAAGCUAUGGCUGAAUCAUUUAAUAUCUGCCUGCUAAUGGAUAUCUAUAUUCUUUAUCUGUUUAUUCAUGUAGGCUGAGGUCUGUACCUUUCUAGAAACCUGAAACAUUGGAAUUAUUCUUUUAUUCACAGUAAUAGCUAUAGCAUUCAUAGGCUAUGUCUUACCAUGAAGAGAAACAACAAUCACAAAUUUACUAUCAACUAUUCCAUACGUUGGCACCAACCUGUUAGAAUGAAUCUGAGGUGGAUUUUCUCUUGACAAGGCAACUUCACACAAUUCUUCACCUCUCAUUUUAUUCUGCCAUUCAUUGUUUCAGCUCUAAUUAUUGUGCACCUUUUAUUCCCACAUGAAACAGGAUCAAAUAACCCAAGGAAUCUCAACCAACUCAAAUAAAAUCCCAUUCCACUCCUAUCACAAAAUUAAAGGCAUUUUAGGAUUUAUUUUUCUACUAUCACUUCUACUCAAACUUGUUUUAUUCUCCCCUGACUUUUUAGGAAACCCAGAUUAUAUUCCAGCAAAUCCCCUCAAUAUACCACCUCAUAUUAAACCAGAGUGAUAUCUUCUAUUUGCCUGUGUAAUUUAGGAUCUACUCCCAAUAAACUAGGAGGUGUCAUAGCCCUUGUGCUCUUAAUCAUAAUUUUAGCAAUCAUCCCAAUCCUUCAGUUAUCUAAACAACGAAGCAUGAUAUUCCAGGUACUAAGCCAAUGCCUAUUCUGGGUUCUAGUAUUAUAAUAACCUCAUAUUCACACAAAUCGAAGGUCAAUCAGUAGAACACCCUUUCAUUAUUAUUGAACAACUAUUAUCCAUUUUAUAUUUUUCCCUUGUUCUCAUAUUAAUACCACUUACUAGCCUAAUCAAGAAUAAACUUCAAUGA